rnacentral:tRNA from 1 species
GCGGGGGUGGCGGAAUGGCAGACGCGCACGUCUCAGAAGCGUGUGGGGCAACCCUUGAGGGUUCAACUCCCUCCUCCCGCACCA